UGACGUAGCUACGGCGAGUGAGCGGCAACAGCUCAAAUUUGAAAUCUGGCUCUUUUAGAGUCCGAGUUGUAAUUUGCAGAGGGCGCUUUGGCUUUGGCAGCGGUCCAAGUUCCUUGGAACAGGACGUCACAGAGGGUGAGAAUCCCGUACGUGGUCGCUGGCUAUUGCCGUGUAAAGCCCCUUCGACGAGUCGAGUUGUUUGGGAAUGCAGCUCUAAAUGGGAGGUACAUUUCUUCUAAAGCUAAAUAUUGGCCAGAGACCGAUAGCGCACAAGUAGAGUGAUCGAAAGAUGAAAAGCACUUUGGAAAGAGAGUCAAACAGCACGUGAAAUUGUUGAAAGGGAAGCGCUUGCAGCCAGACUUGCUUACAGUUGCUCAUCCGGGUUUCUACCCGGUGCACUCUUCUGUAGGCAGGCCAGCAUCAGUUUGGGCGGUAGGAUAAAGGUCUCUGUCACGUACCUCCUUUCGGGGAGGCCUUAUAGGGGAGACGACAUACUACCAGCCUGGACUGAGGUCCGCGCAUCUGCUAGGAUGCUGGCGUAAUGGCUGUAAGCGGCCCGUCUUGAA
rnacentral:rRNA from 1 species